CCAAACUAUACAACCAUAUAAGUUAAUCAAACUUACCUCACAGGCUUUCAGGAUGUGCAAAAAUUGAUAUGCGAGGUGUUCCGUGGUAGAAAGGUUUGUCAAAGUGAGUCGUGUGUUUCCAGAUGAGUCGCGCGCGGUCAACUGCAACAUCUGACUGAAUGACAUCUGCUGGAUGCUGUAGGACUGUAGGUGAUGGUGCACGUGACAUCAAAGAGCUGACCAAUGAGGAUCUUAGUUUGUCAUGCUCUUUCAUCUCUAUUUUGACCUUAACCCCACCUCCUUCAGAUGCGACAGGAGGGUUUUGUUUUUUCAUGACGUCGACUCGUCAUGUCGCUGAAUGGCGGAGGCUAAAAAUAGCACCUUCAGGGAGCUCGCUGGUCUACCGGGGGGUGGGGGAUUGAGACUACAGUCUGUGGUAAAAUUACCGCAACACAGGAAACAGUGAAAUGGGCAGAAGACAAGUAGAAAAAAUUAUUUCAUUAUUAUUUAAAGACUUAAUAUGAUAUGUUUUGUUGUUGUUUUGUUUUAUUGUCUUGUAUAAUUUUUUUGAAUACUGCUAUCAUCAAUUUUUAUUUUAACAUUUUUCUUGACGCCCUUUUGGACUCUGCGAUGCCCCUAGGCAUUUUGCCUACCUGGCCUUAUGGACCGCACGGGUCUGUAUAGCAGUAUGGCCCAGCGUUGCUUGGGUUUGCUUAACGUGAAUGUGACGUCCAAUCCCUUUUAACAGUUGAAAUGGAUUAGAUUUCUAUUGUCGUCAAUUGGUGUUUUCAUCAAUUUCCCUCGAUUACUAUAACAACAACCAGACAGCAAACGCAAAGUGGUCAUCGCCUCUCUGGCUUUCCACAAGACCUGGGCACAGUGUGUCGUCUGCUGGAAAGCCUGGGGGAGGAGUACGAGAGGACUGAGGACUGGUGCGGCGUAACAGACAAACCUGGCUCCAGCGGUCAAAUGGAUCAUGUGACUUCCAUGAUCAGUAAACACCUGAAGGAAAAGAAAUUCUUCCUCAAGGUUGAA